rnacentral:rRNA from 1 species
ACGUCAAGUCCUCAUGGCCCUUAUGGGUAGGGCUUCACACGUCAUACAAUGGUGCAUACAGAGGGUUGCCAAGCCGCGAGGUGGAGCUAAUCCCAGAAAAUGCAUCGUAGUCCGGAUCGUAGUCUGCAACUCGACUACGUGAAGCUGGAAUCGCUAGUAAUCGCGGAUCAGCAUGCCGCGGUGAAUACGUUCCCGGGCCUUGUA